rfam:Lactobacillus mucosae LM1, complete genome.
UAAUCUUUGAUCGUAGAGGAGUUAGUAGCCAACUCAGCUGUUUACAGAGACCAGGCGGCGGUGCAAGUCUGGAGCAGACGUUGGUGAACUGGCCUCAAAAAAUUGCUGCUGAACCAACAGUAGGCGGCAACGUGAAAUUCGCGUUAAGAAUCUCAAGGGCCAUGCAUAAAGCGUGGAAUUCAGGUGGUACCGCGGAUUUUGAUUCGUCCUGCAU